rnacentral:rRNA from 1 species
GAUGAACGCUGGCGGCGUGCCUAAUACAUGCAAGUCGUGCGAACAGACGAGGAGCUUGCUCCUCUGACGUUAGCGGCGGACGGGUGAGUAACACGUGGAUAACCUACCUAUAAGACUGGGAUAACUUCGGGAAACCGGAGCUAAUACCGGAUAAUAUAUUGAACCGCAUGGUUCCAUAGUGAAAGACGGUUUUGCUGUCACUUAUAGAUGGAUCCGCGCCGCAUUAGCUAGUUGGUAAGGUAACGGCUUACCAAGACGACGAUGCGUAGCCGACCCCAGAGGGUGAUCGGCUACACGGGAACUGAGACACGGCCCAGACUCCGACGGGAGGAAGCAGUCGGGAAUCUUACGCAAUGGGGGAAAGCCGGACGGAGCAAAGCCGCGUGAGUGAUGAAGGUCUUCGGAUCGUAAAACUCUGUUAUUAGGGAAGAACAAAUGUGUAAGUAACUAUGCACGUCUUGACGGUACCUAAUCAGAAAGCCACGGCUAACUACGUG